rnacentral:tRNA from 1 species
GGGGAGAUGGCUCAGUGGUUAAGAGCACUGGAUCUGCUGCCAGAAGACCUGAGUUGGAGUCUUAGUACCACCA